CAAACUUGGUCAUUUAGGGGAAGUAAAAGUCGUAACAAGG
rnacentral:rRNA from 1 species